rnacentral:rRNA from 1 species
AAGGAUCAUUAUUGAAAUAAACCUGAUGGGUUGUUGCUGGCUCUCUAGGGAGCAUGUGCACACCUUGUCAUCUUUAUAUCUCCACCUGUGCACUUUUUGUAGACCUUUCAGGUCUAUGUUGCUUUCAUUUACCCCAAUGUAUGUUAAUAGAAUGUUGUGCCUAUAUAAUAUAUACAACUUUCAGCAACGGAUCUCUUGGCUCUCGCAUCGAUGAAGAACGCAGCGAAAUGCGAUAAGUAAUGUGAAUUGCAGAAUUCAGUGAAUCAUCGAAUCUUUGAACGCACCUUGCGCUCCUUGGUAUUCCGAGGAGCAUGCCUGUUUGAGUGUCAUUAAUAUAUCAACCUUCUCUUUUUUGAGUUGUUUGGAUGUGGGGGUUUGCUGGCCUCUUAAAUGAUUCAGCUCCCCUGAAAUGCAUUAGCAGAACAACCUGUUCAUUGGCGUGAUAAUUAUCUAUGCUAUUGAAUGUGAGGGCAGUUCAGCUUUCUAACCGUCCUUGGACAAUUCAUCAUUAAUGUGACCUCAAAUCAGGUAGGACUACCCGCUGAACUUAA